UUUUGACGAGUUGUUGAGGAUUUUGACCCUGAUGUUCUCCUCUGAAAUCUGAACCUCUGACAUGAACCAUGAACCAAAAAAGCCCAGACACAGAAACUUAGAGUUCCGGACCAUGAACUUAUGGAUCUGAACUGUGAACCGUUACAGACACAAACCUCCCUGGUUCUGCCAGACUUUAAGUUAUGGUAAAAUCUCGCUCUUGUGCACCAGCUCAGUCACUGGACCUGAAACAAACAAAAUGCUGUCUAUUACAACCUCACUGCUGCCCCAGUGGAGCUGACUUGUUUGUUUGUAUUGUUGUUUUUUCAUAAAGUAAUUUUUAUUUGAUCUGGUUUAUGAAAUACUAACGUCUGAGUAAUAGAAGGAAGAUUACACCUUUAAUUCUACAACCCUUGAAAUAGAAAGUCCAGUUCUCCUCAGUCACUGACAAGAACCAUCUGCACAGGAAUAUGUUUCUAUGGGUAUUAGUUUUUGUUUAUUUGUGUUUCAAUAAAUGUAAUAAAAUGCAUUUAUAAAGCAACUUUUGGGUUUUAUUGUGGAGAACAAAGUUUUCACAUAACUUGUUUCCAUUAAAAUAGUGAACUGUGAGUUGACUGCUCUGUCUGUAAAGGCCAUCCACUUAUAGUGAAGUGUCAGGUGUUUAGAAUAAAUAUUUGGAUUAUUGUUUUAGUAAAAGUUGUCAGCUGGUUUAAAGGCAGUGAUGAUGAAGCAGUAAUUGGGUGGAUGGGUAGGUCCAUAGUUGUUUAGAACUUGGUGAAGAGCAUGGAACUAAGUUCUGGUCCACAAUCACAGUGAUGGAAGGCAGCACCAGGUCUUUUUCAACGCCCAGAGCAGAAUGAGUUGAUCUGGUCUCUCCACAGUCUGUCCCUAAUCAACUCUCUGGUAUUUAGUUAUUCCUAAUUAUCAGGACAUAUCUCUUUAAGAAAGUGGAAAAAAUAUAUAUUUUUUAGUUGAUAUAUUAUUCACAAUCUGAGUGAUAGUAAAUGAGAUUUUUAUAUUAUUAGUAAGAAAUAUUGUUUUUGUUUUUUUAAGAAUAUUCUACAAUCUUUCGUACAUUUAUUAAUGUUACGCUUAAAAAAUGUCUGAAACGUUCUGCAGUUCUAACAAAAACUUCAUUAUAUUCUGAUUAAUAUCUAUUGUUUUUUAGUUUUAAAACAGAGAAAUUCAGCUUCAAAACUUUUUUUUAAGCUUAAAAUCUGAAAUUUUCAAGUUGGAAACUUUUGGCAACGUUCUGGUGUGUGGGGGCGGGGCUAACACAAAGGAUCAAUCAAUAUCAGUGAUGUUGGUAACCUCAGUCCUGGUGCGUUCACUGAUUGGGAAAAUUACUUAGGAAAUGUCUGUACUAUGGCAGCAAGUAAAAGGGAUCACAAAUUGCCAGGAAAAGCUGAAACUGAAAAAAGUUUUGAAACUAAAGUUUUUAGUUUUGCAAAAACAGAAAAUGUGAAGCUGAAUAUAAUUAUGUUUGUAUUAGAAUUGCAGAAACACAUUUUUUAGGGUAACACCUAUAUUUCAGUUUGAAUUUUUGAAGUUGUUUUAUUUAGGUUUUAAAUCUUUACACCCCGAUUGGCUUCACAGGAUCCUGGAUUACUCAAAUGUGUUUGUUUGCAUAAAAUAAAGGUUAAAAAUCUUUUUGUACAAUUCAUUUUUUGGUAUUCUACCCCGAAUCACAUGACUGAAGUUACCGUCCUCACGCCUUUUUUCGACACUGGCACCAGUCAGCUGUGGCAGCAGCAGGUCAUGUGAUCCAGGUCUAAAAUUAUCCACCAGCUCUGAGGUCAGAUUUCAGCAACAUGGAGGACAGCUGGGCAGCCACAAGGAAUAAUGGCGACCCUCACAGGUUCACUGGCUGAAGCCACUUUAACCAACCCAUAAUCAAUAGCGCCAGGAAGGAUGGUCAGAGAGGCGGAGCUGCAGCUCACAGGUCAGAGGUUAUCGAAACCGUGAGCGCUGUAGUGUCAAGACAGGAAGUGGCUGUUAUGGUGGGCGUGGUGGCGUAUGGCUCUGUGAGCUCCAUCAAAGCUCUGUGGGAGACCCGGAUCAAGAAAAGCAAGGAGGAGGAGCAGAAGAGAACAGCCAGGGGUGGAGCUCCAGGAAGACUCAGUGUUGGGGCCUGGGAGGAUCGGGCCAUUCUGGCUCGAUUAAAGCAGAAACUGCAGACUGAAGAUGGACGACUGAUUCUUCGAAUUGAGCAGGAGGAGUGGAAGGCUUUGCCAGGCUGUCUGGUCCAGCUCAGUCAGGUCCAGGAGUGGCAGAUCCACCGAACUGGACUGCAGAAGAUUCCUCAUUUUAUUCCCAACUUCCAGAACCUUCUAGUCCUGGAUUUGUCCCGUAAUUCCAUCACUGAGAUCCCAAAACAAAUCGGUGAGCUGACUCGACUGAAAGAACUGCUGCUGAGCUACAACAGAAUCCAGCGUGUUCCUGAAGAGCUGGGUGGAUGUGAGAGUCUGGAGAGACUAGAACUGUCUAUGAACUGGGACCUUAGUGAGCUUCCAGACCAGUUUAGGAACCUGACUCGGCUGCAGCACCUGGAUCUGUCCCUGAACUGCUUCAGCGUCCUACCCGACUGUAUAGUUGCACUGCCGGCACUUGUGUGGCUUGACAUUGGGGGGAACUGCCUGCAGCACUUACCUGAGGACAUACACAGAAUGGAGAAGCUGCACACGCUGUGGCUGCAGAGGAAUGAACUUGAGAGACUUCCGGACAACAUCAGCCGGAUGGCAAGUCUGGACACACUGGUGCUGAGCAGCAACAGACUGAGAGACAUCCCACCCCUGAUGGAGGGCAUGUCCAACCUCAGGUUUGUUAAUUUCCGGGACAAUCCCCUGAUUCUGGACGUGACUCUUCCUCCAAUAGAGAGAACGACAGAGGAUGACGAGGGUGAAGACGACAGGGAGAUGUUUGGACGAGAGUUCAUGCAAAUGUACAUCCAGGAAUCCAGAAAGAGAGCUUUCGCUGCGCUCAACAUGCACCGAGUCAACCGUUAGUAUCAACGCCGCAACAGCAGAGGGUGGAAGACUAACACUGGACCGGACCCUAACGAGGCUGUGGACACUAACACGGGUUGAAGCAGACAGAUGAAGACUCAUGAAGUACAGAACCCUUGAGGCGUCAGUUCUUUUUGCAGUUGGAGUCUAAAAGCUGCUCCAGAAAACAACUUUUACUCUAGAAGAGCACAAACCCGCUGGAGACAACACUUUAGC